rnacentral:rRNA from 1 species
AACGCGAAGAACCUUACCUGGGUUUGACAUGGAUCGGGAGUGCUCAGAGAUGGGUGUGCCUCUUUUGGGGUCGGUUCACAGGUGGUGCAUGGCUGUCGUCAGCUCGUGUCGUGAGAUGUUGGGUUAAGUCCCGCAACGAGCGCAACCCUUGUUCACUGUUGCCAGCACGUUAUGGUGGGGACUCAGUGAAGACCGCCGGGGUCAACUCGGAGGAAGGUGGGGAUGACGUCAAGUCAUCAUGCCCCUUAUGUCCAGGGCUUCACGCAUGCUACAAUGGCUGGUACAGAGAGUGGCGAGCCUGUAAGGGUGAGCGAAUCUCGGGAAGCCGGUCUCAGUUCGGAUUGGGGUCUGCAACUCGACCUCAUGAAGUCGGAGUCGCUAGUAAUCGCAGAUCAGCACG